rnacentral:rRNA from 1 species
UACGGAGGGUGCAAGCGUUGUCCGGAAUCACUGGGCGUAAAGGGCGCGUAGGCGGCUCAUGAAGGCUGUGGUGAAAGUCCGGGGCUCAACCUCGGAUCGGCCGUGGCGACUCGUGGGCUGGAGCACUGUAGAGGCGGGUGGAAUUCCGGGUGUAGCGGUGGAAUGCGUAGAGAUCCGGAAGAACACCAGUGGCGAAGGCGGCCCGCUGGGCAGUGGCUGACGCUGAGGCGCGACAGCGUGAGGAGCAAACAGG